ACCUACAGCCAUGCCACCCUGAACACGCCUGAUCCCAUCUGAUCUCAGAAGCUAAGCAAGGUUGGGCCUGGUUAGUACUUGGAUGUGAGACCACCUAGGAAGACCAGGUGCUAUAGGCG
rnacentral:rRNA from 1 species